UUACACAUGCAAGUCGAGCGGUAACAUUUCUAGCUUGCUAGAAGAUGACGAGCGGCGGACGGGUGAGUAACGCGUAGGAAUCUGCCUAGUAGUGGGGGACAACAUGUGGAAACGCAUGCUAAUACCGCAUACGCCCUACGGGGGAAAGGAGGGGAUCUUCGGACCUUUCGCUAUUAGAUGAGCCUGCGUGAGAUUAGCUAGUUGGUGGGGUAAAGGCCUACCAAGGCGACGAUCUCUAGCUGGUCUGAGAGGAUGAUCAGCCACACUGGGACUGAGACACGGCCCAGACUCCUACGGGAGGCAGCAGUGGGGAAUAUUGGACAAUGGGCGCAAGCCUGAUCCAGCCAUGCCGCGUGUGUGAAGAAGGCCUUAGGGUUGUAAAGCACUUUCAGGAGUGAGGAAGGGCGUAUAGUUAAUACCUGUAUGUUUUGAC
rnacentral:rRNA from 1 species